CUGCAUCGUCAUGUGUCCUCCAGCUGACCGUCCUAAUGUCUCUAUCGCACAGCUCGAUCCAUCCGAUAGAUAUACAGUGCCCUUACUGUUCUCCAGAGAGUCAAACUGCUCCUUUCUGCAACAAACAUAAUAGGGGCAUGCAGAAUUUAAUAUCCACUGCUGGGAAGAAAUAGAUACCUCGUCAAAUAUCUCCAGGACAUCU
rnacentral:lncRNA from 1 species